CAGACACCUCUGCUUCCCUGCUGUGUGGCCCCACAGGUGACAGAUGGGACAGAGUCGCCUGCCAAUCCUCAGAUCACCAUCUGAGGCAGUUGGCAAAGAACAGACUCCACACCUGGCUGGUCCAGGUGAGACCUUUCAUAAUGAGCAUGUGGCUGUAAGUGCCUCCGUUCAACUAGUCUGGGGCAGUCUGAAAUGUCUAGAACCAACUUGAAACAACAGGAAAACUAAACAGCUUCCCCACAGGCAUAGAUGCCAAGUUGAUCACCAGCAAAGGGAAAAAUCAAUACACUGAGUUAUCCUGAAAAAUGAAAUGGAAGCCAACUAGUUUCACCAAAGAAGCAGGACCCUUAGUUCUUAAAAAGAAAAGAAAAGAAAAAUUCACCAGACACCACCAAAAAGAAUAAAAUGCAAAGCCAGGAGGUACCAGUCAGUAGAGACUUGGCAUGUUGAACAUGGUGGACCAGCUGUCCAAGAUGAUAAGAUUGCUGUUGACGGGUAUAGGCCUCCAGGGAGAUGGGCUUUGGAUGGUGUUGCCAUGGCCCGAUCACAGUUGUUUACAUCUGUUCCUUACUAAAACAGCAUUGUACUCCAAGCCCCAUGCCUCAGGAACUAGCUGCUGCCCCUUUGGAAGCACAGACAGCCCUUCCUUGAGAAGAAUCCUCCAGGCACAGGUCACCUAGAGGGCACUGGGGGACACUGGGGCAGAGGAAGCAUUAGUGAGAGGGCAGAAGAGCUGUCUUCCUCCCCUGCCUCUGUCACCCGUCUGAUGUUGCUGCUUCAGUUUCCUGUAUACUUCCCUACCCCAUGUGUUGAUACGAGGCUGCAAGGACAUCUUGCACGUAAGAUGCCAGGUCUUGAGGUUGUUGGUGUCCCAGGACUGUUCUACCACCACAGUGGGCUUGUAAAUCUCAAGGGGAUCCUGUGUCAUCAUUUUAGUCACAGGUAGGGGCUUGGACUGCCACUCCCCCCUUAAUUCUUAGAGUGUAAGUGUAUCUUUGAGUAUUCCUGUGGAUUGUUGCUUCCAUUGGAUAUUUGCCAACUAGCAUGUACCCUGUUCCCAGACAUGUUUGCUAGAAUCUAGUAUUCACUCUACUCCAAGCAAAGAUACUGAAGGUUCUGGCAAGGCUUAGAAACCUGCUCCCAAGAAUCAGUCCUGCAGAAGAUUGUUUGACAACUUGUGAGAAUCAGCAUGACUAUCUCUUCGUUAGAGGAAGGAACCGAGAAGCUGUGACUAAAAAUGGAGAUGGAGCACUUAAUGAGAUAAAAAGAUUUAGAUGACCACAGUGAAUACAUGAAAACAAAUAAAUUCAUGGAAGUUGUGAGUUGAAAGCAGACUGUGAAGGAGGACUAGAUGUGAUGCAUUAUGGGGUGCCUGUUCAACCCACUCUGAGAAGGGGCCCCUCAUCCAUCAGAGCCGUACCUGUUAUACGCGUUCCUGCUGCCUUGACCAGAGCUGAUGAGGUGGGUCCUUGGGGUGGAUAGGCUUCCCUGGUGGCUCAGAUGGUAAAGCAAUGCGGGAAACCCGAGUUCAAUUCCUGGGUUGGGAAGAUCCCCUAGAGAAGGAAAUGGCAAUCCACUCCAGCACUCUUGCCUGGAAAAUCCCAUGGACGGAGAAGCCUGAUAGGCUACAAUCCAUGGGGUUGCAAAGACUCGGACACGACUGAGUGACUUCACUUUCAUGAAUCCCAUGGACAGAGAAGCCGGAUAGGCUACAAUCCAUGGGGUCGCAAAGAGUCAGACACGACCUACAAUCCAUGGGGUCGCAAAGAGUCAGACACGACUGAGUGACUUCACUUUCACUUUCACUUUUGGGGUGGAUAGGCUGAUGGAGUUUCCCUGAAAAUGUGGAGUUGGAAUUUAAGAAUGUGGUCAGUCUCUGGCUAUGACUGGACCUGCAGAUGUAUAAACUUCUUCUCUGUGAAGCAGACAUCUUCUGCCGUGCACAUGGUGAUACCGGAAAGCUGACCUAUCUAGAGCAGAGAAGAAGCAGACACACAGCGAUAAACAGAGGGCUUCUCGCCACCUGAUGUGAAGAACUGACUCGUUGGAAAAGACCCUGAUGCUGGGAAAGAUUGAAGGCGGGAGGAGAAGGGGACGACAGAGGAGGAGACGGUUGAAUGGCUCAAUGGACGUGAGUUUGAGCAAGCUCCAGGAGUUGGUGAUGGACAGGGAAGCCUGGCAUGCUGCAGUCCAUGGGGUUGCAAAGAGUUGGACACGACUGAGCUGAACUGAACUGAACUGAACCCUCUUGCUGGAGAUUGUGUUGAGGACCAAAGAGGGACAGACAUGAACAAACUAGAAGAUGAACAGGUCUGGAGGCUGGGAAGUCCAAGGUCAAGGUGCUGAUCACUUCCGUUCCUGCUGAGGGCCCUGUGCUUGGCUUAUGGACAGCUACCUUCUCGUCUGUGUGAUCAUUAGCAGAGAGACAGCUCCAGUGUCUCCUUCUCUUCUUACAAUGACACACUAAUCAUAUCGUGGAGGCCGCAUUCUCAUGACCUCAUCUAAACCUAAUUACCUCUCAAAGUCCCCACUACCGAACAUCAUUUUACUAGGGUUAGGGCUUUGACGUAUACAUUUUGGGUGAAAACAAACAUUCUGUCCAUGACAUACAUUUAUUAGGAAAAGAAACUCUCCUUAGUCUCACUCAAGGUCCAGACUUCCUCUUGAAAGAAGAGAUACUCCUUAAGGCUGUGCACUGGGUUAAGUUCUGACCUCCUACUUCCCCAAGGGCAGCCUGCCAUAUUGGAGUUUUUAAAGCAGGCUUUUUCAUAUCCUGGGGUGGGACUGGGCCUUGUGGCAGAUUGUCCUGCUGCUGUGAGACUAUAUUAGUGUCAGAUUUCUUACCUUACCCGGACUGGACAAGACUUGGAAGCUUCCCUCUGGACAUCAGUCUUGACAAAAUUAGCCCCACCCAACUCCAAACAGAAGGCACCACAACUCCUCCAUAAUCUGACCCAGGACAGCAGAAACUGUUAGAGUGUGUAAGCAAGAUUUCUUGGGGCCAUCAUCAUUCCCCUCUGACCCCAACUGCCUACCCUCAUGGCCUCUCAGAUCACCACUGGACAGGGGCCUCAGCUCCCCCUUCCAUAAACAGGUGCCAAUCACCAUCCAAUAGCAGCCAUUGGAUGUGGGAAUCUGAACAUAUUGAAGCACUGGGGAAAUUUAAGUUGUAAUUUUUUUUUUUUUAAUAGAGUACAGGCCUUUAUAGGGUGAAGGUGACCAGACAGAACUGUGAUCCCUGUUCUUGGAGAGAAAGAAAACUUAAAAAUCAUUUAAUUAUGACUUUGGGGCUUAAUAUUAACAAGCUCAAAAGUUUUCCAACACCCUUCCACAAAGCCUCUCAGCCUCCAAAUGAUUUCAGCUGCUCCAAGACAAUCCACUCUGUGUCUGGGGCAUCAAUUUGAUUUACAGAGCAUUUCAAAAUAUUUAUAUAUUUUUUAGGGUUUCCAUCACGGCCUCAGCCAGUAACCUGCUGUGUUUGAAAAUGUCUGGGCAGUAAUUGUCAUUGUUUGCAACAGCUAUUUUGGACUCCAGCGAGUGCUGUGGCAUUUUGUAGAAUCUAGGAAUGCAAUUACCAAAAUUGUAUACAUAAUCCAAGUGACCUCCUGGCUUCAGAAGCUCAACCCCUAGGAAAAAAAGGAUAACAACAGCAAAACGUUUGUUUAAUUUUUCUUCUGUAGUUGGUCAGUGGUAGGUGGAUUAUAUUGUGGCCAAUUUGGCAAAAAGAUGAUUAGUGUAACAAUUCCUUAUAAGUACAAAACAAUGUUGAAUGAAACAUACAAGAAAGAAUAUGACAUGGAUGGCAGGCUCUUGUGACCCACUUUCUUACCUAUGUGUUUGUGGAGGAAACUGAGGGGGCAUCUGGGUCCUGUAAUGACUCAUUCCUCAUGAUGCAAGAGAUUGCUUUUACCAAUUAAAAGUGUGUACUUUAGAAAAAAGUUGCUAACUGUGAAGAAGUUUAUGUAAAACAACAAUAACAAAAAUUUGUUUGAGAAAGAGACCAUUUUGGAGUCACUAAAUGAAUUUACAAGUUGCCCCCAGUGUCAUUAGGGAUUUAGGUUUCUUGAAUCUUAUCAGC
ensembl:lncRNA